AAAUCAGGUAGGACUACCCGCUGAACUUAAGCAUAUCAAUAAGCGGAGGAAAAGAAACUAACAAGGAUUCCCCUAGUAACUGCGAGUGAAGCGGGAAAAGCUCAAAUUUAAAAUCUGGCGGUCUUUGGCCGUCCGAGUUGUAGUCUGGAGAAGUGCUUUCCGCGCUGGACCGUGUACAAGUUCUCCUGAA
rnacentral:rRNA from 1 species